rnacentral:lncRNA from 1 species
GAAAAUACAUAAUGGAAACAGUACAGAAGAGAGGGACAUAUUUUAAAUGACAUCAUAUGGAUUUAACUGAAACCUGAAGCAUCAGAAUUGAAAUCUAAAGCAUCAGAAAUCAUAGUAGGAGACAAAUCAACUAAUUUGCUCAUCAAGUAUUUUCUGAAAAGGUGGAUUGCUGCUUCAAAGGACCUGGACCCAGAGGCCCUGUCCAUGAAUGUUUCUUGCUUGGUUCCGAGGCCACCAAACAUACUGGCUGAGCCUUCUGUAUUCACCCUGGCCUAUCAAUGCCAUCUAUGAGAGCAGCCACACUGAGAGAGCAGCAGCAUGGAGCCUACUCAAGGGUUUGUUUCAAAAAUAUAUGGAAAACAAGAAAAACCAAAAGAGGAAACCAUUUCUAAUGAGGAGACUAGUUCAAUUAUUCUGAAGUCAAGCCCUGCUAAUCAAGGAGUUGGACCGACUGUGACAUUUGGGGAAGCCCCACAGAACAGGUCCUAAAUAUUACUGAGGAUCUCUCAUCUUCUAGGUGAAGCUCACAAAAUUGCCCUGGAGGUUGCUGCCUUCCUGGAAGCCAGAGUGAAAAAAAAAAAGAGGACAUGCAGUUGCACAUGGGAGGAUUUUGUGGGCCAUGGUUAUCAGGGCACAAUCCCUUAGCUCACCUUUCUCUGGUGAGAAAACACUUCCAGUGCCACACCUCAGUCUCCUCCCUCUGGUGAAAAAAACACUUCCAGUGCCACACCUCAGCCUCCUUCCUCUGGUGAAAAAACAGUUCCAGUGCCAUACCUCAGCCUUUCCUCUGGUAAAAAACACUUCCAGUGCCACACCUCAGCCUCCCUCCUCUGGUGAAAAAACACUUCCAGUGCUACACCUCAGCCUCCUUCCUCUGGUGAAAAAAUACUUCCAGAGCCACACCUUACCCUCCUUCCUCUGGUGAGAAACUACUUCCAGUGCCACACCUCAGCCUCCUUCCUCUGGUGACAAAACACUUCCAGUGCCACAACUCAGCCUCCUUCGACUGGUGAGAAAACACUUCCAGUGCCACACCUCAGCCUCCUUCCUCUGCUGAGAAAACACUUCCAGUGCCACAGCUCAGCCUCCUUCCUCUGGUCACAAAACACUUCCAGUACUACACAUCACUGCUGGAGAACUGGAGAGUGGAGUCUUCCAGCCCAAGAAGAAAGAAAUAUAGGAUUUUGUCAAGUACCAGAAGUUUCUGCCACACUCAGUGGGCAUUCUUUGAGUUAGUUUUUUUAGUAUAUUUCACUAAAAACUGUGAGAGAGGAACCCUUAAUAUAGGUCCUGCAAAAAACAAGUAUUCAAUAAAUCCUGUUGAAUCAAUAAAUGAAUCACCUCUUCCAAAAUAAGCUUAAUUGUUUAAGUUACUAGCAAAAUGCCUAAAUGAAAAUUAACCAUUCUAUAGAGACAUUAUUGAGUUAGUUCAUUCAGCCAUUCAAUAAAUGUAUUCAGUGUAUGUUUAUAGAAUAACUAUAAUUUACCAACUGUUUUAGGCAUGGGGGGUACAGCAGUGAAUAAAAUCAUCCAACUACCUAUUCUAACAGAGAUUAAAUUCUAGUGGUACAAGCAGCAGACGAACAAAUGAAUAAUUUCAUAUAUUCAUCCAUGCAAUAAUAUUGAAAAUUUUAUUUUCAAUAAAUAAUCAGUGGUCCUCAACCUUUUCGGCAUCAGGGAACAAUUUUGUGGAAAACAAUUUUUCUACAAACGGGUGGGAGAAUGGUUUCAGGAUGAUUCAAGCACAUUACCUUUAUUGUGCACUUUAUUUCUAUUAUUACUGCAUUGUAAUAUAUAAUGAAAUAAUUAUACAACUCAUCAUAAUGUAGAAUCAGUGGGAGCCCUG